AUUACCUGAGGCUGGGCGGGGGUGUUGGGGGAAUAACGUAAGGAACCGUUUAAAAACCAUCCAAAAUGAGUAUAACACACCUCUGAAAAUCGCAAUGUGAUUUCAAGAGUAUUUGUGUUGCAUAAAGGAAGUGAUAUCAGUUCUGAGCUCCAGUUUUCCUAUCUGGCAAAGGCUUUAUCUUGCUGAGAUAUCAUCUGCUGUGGUGAACGGUCCACAGCUGGCUGAGCUCCAACAGUAGCCAGAUUCCAUUGUAAAAGAACACAAAACAACCAGAAGUGUGGAAGCACCUCUGACUUUUUGAAUAUUUCACCAGUUAAGUUGUUCUCCUUUAGUUCUUAAGGGCACAGACUGGAAAUUGCCCCCUACUUGCUGUGUGUUCUUGAGCAAGUCACUUACCUUCUCUGUACCUCACUCACUUCCUCAUCUGACCACACGAGACCUAAAAAUAGUGCCUCUCUCAUAGAGUUAUUAUAAAGAACAUGUAAGUUAAUAGUUGUGAAUUGCUUGAAACACUGCAAGUGUUUAUAAAAUGAAUAAAACCAGUGGAUAUUCGUUUGCUAGACUUGCCACAACAAAGUACCACAGAGCGGGUGGCUUAAACAACAGGAGUUUAUUGUCUUACAGUUCUAGAGGCUAGAAAUCCAAAAUCAGGGCGUCGGCAAGAUUGAGUCCCUCUGAGGGCCGUGGAAACAAUCUGUUCCAGCCUCUGUCCUUGGUGGUGAAUGGCCGUCUUCUACCUGUGUCCCUUCACAUCAUCUUUCCUCUGUGUGUCUCCAAAUUUCCCCUUUUGAUAAGGACACAAGUCAUAUUGGAUGGGGGCCCAUUCUAAUGACCUCAUUUUAACUUGGGUCCCUUUGUAAAGAUCAUAUCUCCAGAUAAGGUCACAUUCUGGGAAGAGAGGGUUAGGACUCUACAACAUAGGAAUUCAAUCCGUAACACAGUAUUUGUUACAAAAAUUACCCCCUCCAGGAGAAGACUUUUCUGUGGGUUGGUUUCCCCUGAAUAUCAGCUACCCCCUACCCUCCCCCCCCCCCGCCCCGCGCUAGUGGAAGAUGCUGACCUCUGACCAGCAGGGAUAGAGCCUCUCCCUGAGCACUUGAAGGGUAGGAGGUCCCCAGAAGGGAGGACUGUGGAGGCCUAGUAUUCCACACUCAGUCUGUCUGAAGAAAACACACUCCCCACUCCAUCCUCUCUCUGGGUCAUUAUGCAAAAGUGUAGCAUCUCAGUGGUGUAACAGAAUUUAUAGUCACGAUAUUGGUUUUCAAUCUGCCUAGUUCCUGGGAAUGUCCAACAUGGGGAAUAAGAAUUGGAUUGCUCGUUUGUUCACUCAACAGAUAUUUACUGACCACCAACCCUGCACCAGGCAUGAUGCGGGGGGACACAGUAGUAAAUAUAACAGCCAUGGCUCCUGCCUUCGUGGGUCAUGCAGGCCCUGAAAAAUGGGCCAUCCGGUGGCCAGCGUGAUGGGACAUGUUUUAUUUGCCCUUCCUCAGGUUUUCAAUGAACUUGAAUUCUUUGCCAACGUUGGGAAACUGGGAAAUCGAGAUAUCAAAUCUGGGAUUCCUAGCUCCUCUUGAAAAAGGCAGAGAGGGGAAGGUCUCCAUCCCUGCCCCUAUUUUCCUACAUGACACUCGUCAGUAGGAUCGCCUGCUUUUAGUGGGGCAGGUACGGGUCUCUAGGGUAGAGCCCAGUUGCCACUGCUUCGUCUCAAACUGCACAAGGACAGCCUUGUACUUUUAUGCUCCCUCGCCCCUGUGCACAUUUUAAUUUUUAAACCCCAGUCUAGUAGAUGAUCAAUACAACAUUAAACACAGAGAAGUGUCUCUUCACACAGAGAUGCCAAGACGGCAACAUAUCCACUAAUUUUUCCCGGAGAAAGCUUGAUCUAGAGUUAGCAACUGAUUAACACCGCCAUGCUGUUAAAGUCCCCUUGGAAUGAGCAAACUCCUGUCGCACAAAUAAGGAUUUCCUCAGCUGACCCAUUCCCAGAAGGGUGAUAUCAUAUCCUGUCAGAUACAGUUGGGCAAACAUGUCCUGCCCCCAUCUCCUAGAGGUCACUUUUGUUUCCAGGGGAACCUAAUAGUAGGGGGUAGGGCACAGACCAAAGGAAGGCAAUUCUGGAUAACCCAUCCCAGCUCUGGGUCCUUUUUCCAGACCAAAGGAAGGUACCGUGAAAGGCUGAACUAUUCCAGAGAUUGUUCUGACAUAUGGGACCAGCCUGGUCCUUUUGAGGAGAUCUGGUCAACAGCAUGAGUUCUGUGUCAGUAAGGUCAGUUUAUAUACCCACCCAGCUAAGGAGUGAUUGCCAGAAGGUGAUCGCUGAACUUGACCUCAUGUAGCAUUCAUCCCAUAUGGCUAUUCAAGACUUCUCCUCUGUCAUUACAAGGUUCUCCUGCUUGAGAAACAAAGGUGAGUAAGUGGAUAAUGCCAACAUAAUUUCUUCAGUGGAGAGCAAAUUUUUCUUCAUUCUUUUAGAAGGAAUAAGGUAGCAAAUAAUUCAUAGAAAGCAAAGCACAAUGUAUAAUAUAUCAUAGGUGCUCCAAAGAUAUUUGAUGAAUUCAUUUAUUAAUGAAAAGCCUGCUCUUUUUUCUUGAUGAUAAAGAGCUCUCUACUAAGUUCUGGGUUCAUCUUUUGGACCGUCUGCUAAGUUGCCCACUUGGACGUUCCCAGGCACUUCAAACUUAGCCUAAAAUUUAAUAAAUUUAUUCUCUUUAAAAGAAAAAAUAGAGAAAAACUACUUCAACUCUAGAAAAUAGUUGAUCGCUAGAAGAGUCACCUAAGUGAGUCAUUAAAAAGUAGUCCUCGUUGGGGCACCUGGGUGACUCAGUGGGUUGAAUGUCCUACUUUGGCUCAAAUGAUGAUCCCACAGCACACGAGUUCGAGCCCUGCAUCCGUUUCUGCUCUGACAGCCCGGAGCCUCCCUCGGGUUCUGCAUUUCCCUCUCCUCACGCUCCCGUGUUCAGUCUGUGUCCACGUCUGGUCACUCCUACCUCCCAAGCCUGGCUGGACCUCUUCCAUUCCUCAGCUACCAUCACUUCCCUCUGUUUACGACACGAAGUAUGGCAGCCACUGGAGUAAAAGGUUGGAGGAGGGGUGGAGGGGAUCUCAAGUUCAGUAUGAGGCAGUGGGGCAAUGUGGGCUGCCGGAUGACACGAUUCCAGGCUGCAUGGACAGGAGGAGAUCGUAGCAUCGCUCUGCAGAACCCCGAUGAGGCUGUGUCUGAAGCAUGGUAUUCAGGCAGACAGUGAUCAACCAGAUUGUGCCCAGGAAAGGGUGGCCAGAAGGGUAGAGAGAGAGCAUUGAAGGGGCAGUGGGGAGGUGUCAGAGUCAGCCCCACGCGUCUGCUUUGUGUCCCUCAGAGAGGAUGAAUGACCCCUUGAUGAUUUCACACAGUGCUACGGGGAUGUGCCCUGCAACCCAGAAGUCCCUAGCCUCUUUACUAAGUUUAUCACCAGCCAGACGAGGGGUCCAGACAGGCUAUGCUUUGCUGUCCCAUCGCUCCCAGUGCCGUGGUUACGGCCAUGUGCUCCUGCAACAGCCCCCACACCCUCUCUUGGCAGAAUUCCACUCUCUGCUGCCUGUAUCCUUUCCAAACCUUCUUUCUUGCAUCUGCUUAAUUUUGUGCAGAGCGCAGGUCUUUCUCCAUGAGCUGUUAUCUCUUGCCCUCACCAGCACCAGCAGGGGCAAUGGAGCGACUGCUUUGCAAUAGUCUGUCUAAUGACACAGUUGAUCUAUUUUAAGCACCUGAAGCACACCCCACUGCUGCCAAUCUUCCCUCAGCAAGCUGCUCUCAGCAUGCUGGAGCAGAGGCAGCCUGAGGUCUGUUCCUGCUUUUUGAGAUCUGGGGAAACAGCCCAGGGAUCCGGACCCUGCCCGUCCAAAGACGAUCUAAGGCAACCGUAAAAUUAGAUAUUUUUACGGUCAGCAUGAGUUAUUCUGGAAGCAGAAAUGCCUGUGAUGCUAGGAUUAUAUGGGGCAGGAACCUCAAGUGAACAAAAAUCCAUCUUUCGAGGGACAGACACAGAGCCUGUGCCCUUCGCAUGUAGAGAGGAGAGACCUGGGAGGCAGCAUUUCAGGAACAAAGAGAAGCCCAACCCCCAUCAGAGAUCUCUUAGGCCCCCACCAUGUUUUUCUCCUCCUCCUAAUCAAGAGACAUUCUUUUCCAACUAGAGGCUGAGUGCAAAUGUUUUACGUAUACGAGUUAUUUAAUCCUUGCAACAAUCCUACAUGGGUCUUCUCUGUAUGGUAAACCUAAGACACUCCCUGUGUUAUGUUGGCUCUCACCAUCCUUCACAGAACUCACCGCAGUCCGUAACAGUUUCAUCCAUUCACAUGUGUACUUUGUUUCUGUCUCUUACUGUCUUUGGACUGUAAACCACAUGAUGACUAGGUGACAGGCCUGCCUGUUUUGUUCACUUGCCGGGUCCUCCAGACUCAUCCCAGUGCUUGACCCAGAGUGACGAUAGCUAACGUGAGCAUUUACUGUGGACCAGGCACUGUGCUAACUAAACUCUUCACGGACAGAAACUCACUUUACAACUUUGAUUGAAAGUUGUAGGAGGGGCGCCUGAGUGGCUCAGUCGGUUAAGCGUCCGACUUCGGCUCAGGUCAUGAUCUCGCGGUUCGUGGGUUCGAGCCCCGCAUUGGGCUCUGUGCUGACAGCUCAGAGCCUGGAACCUGCUUCAGAUUCUGUGUCUCCCUCUCUCUCUGCCCCUCCCCCACUUGCACUCUGUCUCUCCCUGUCUCAAAAAUGAAUAAACAUUUAAAAAAUUUUUUUAAAAAAAAGAAGAAAGUUUAGGGAAAUAGGUAGUAAUAGUACCCUCAUUUUCCAGAGGAGGGAAUUAGAGCCCAAGGACCGAGUCAUUGGCCUCAAAUCUCACAUUUAAUAAACAAUGAUGAAAAAAUGCUCAACAUCACUAAUCAUUAGGGAAAUGCAAACCAAAACCACAAUGAGAGGACGCCUGGGUGGCUCAGUCGGCUAGGCAUCCGACUUCGACUCAGGUCAUGAUCUCAGGGUCUGUGGGUUCGAGCCCUGCAUCAGGUUCUGUGCUGACAGCUCAGAGCCUGGAGCCUGUUUCAGAUUCUGUGUCUCCCUCUCUCUCUGCCCCUCCCCAAUGUGCACACACACUCUCUCUCUCAAAAAUAAACAUUUAAAAUUUUUUUUAAAAACACACAAUGAGAGAACACCUCACACCCGUCAGAAUGGCUUGUAUCAAAAAGACAAGGAAUAGCAAGUGUUGGUGAGGAUGUGGAGGAACAAGAACCCUUGUGCACCGGUGGUGGGAAAGUGGAUUGGUGCAGCCACUGUGGAAAACAGGGUGGAGGUUUCUCAGAAAUUAAAAAUAGAAUUACCAUUUGAUCCAGUAAUUCCACUUCUGGGUAUUUACCCAACGAAAAUGAAAACACUAAUUUGAAAAGAUACAUGCACCCCUGUGUUUAUGGCAGCGUUAUUUACAAUGGCCAAGAUAUGGAAGCAGCCUAAGUGUCCACUGUUAGAUGAGUUGAUAAAAAAGGUGUGAGAUAUAUACAUCCACAAUGGAAUAUUACUCAACCUCAAAAAAGAACGUGAUUUUGUCAUUUGCAACAGCAUAGAUGGACCUAGAAGGUAUCAUGCUAAGUGAAGUAAGUAAGACAGAGAAAGACAAAUACUAUAUGAUUUCACUCCUAGGUGGAAUCUAAAAAAAAAAAAAAAAACAGAAACAAGCAUUAAAAAAGCAGAAACAGUCGCAUAAAUACAAAGAAUAUACAGGUGGUUGACAGAGGGAACGGGAAGCGGGUAGGGGCAAAAUGAGUGAAGGGGAGUGGGAGACACAGGCUUCCAGUUACGGAAUGAGUAAGUCACAGGAAUGAAAGGCACAGCAGGGGCAAUAUAGUCAGUGAUAUUGUGAUAGCAUUAGCUACACUUGGGGUGAGCAUAGCAUAAUCUAUAGAGAGUUGAAUCACUAUGUUGUACAGCUGAAACCGAUAUGACAUUGUGUGUUGACUCUAAUAAGAAAAUAAUCAUAAGUAAUGAAACCUUGAGCAAAUAUGCAAAUGGAUGAAUUGAACAAGGAAUAUUUAAUUCUCCCCUUUUUCAUGAAAGGGAAAUGAGGUUCAACGUGAAGACACCUGGCCACCCUCACGUGAGCUAGGAGGUAUAGGGCAGGUGUCUAGAACCAUGUCCAUCUGACCCUGAUCUCCUUUCCCUCCUUCCUGCUUCCUCCUUUUCACCAUCUUUCCCCAUUUUACACUAACGAGCAUCACAGGGGGAAGGUGUGGGUUGGGGUCGCUGAUCCUACAGUCAGUUUCCUGUUAGAUGCCCAGCCCUGCUGUCCCAUUCACUGGGGCAAUGACACAAAUCCCUGCUCUGGGUAGAGCAGCAUGCCAGGCCUUGUGGUGUGAGAGAUGCACAGGACAGAGAGCAUGAUCUCGGAUCGCUUCCUUCCAGUGUCACCGUAGGGUGGACACAAGUAUGUGACUGAAAUACUAGAGAAGCCAUCAUGGGUGUUGAGGGAGAAGGAAAGAGUGAAGAAGACAGGCCAGAUUCCUUUGGAAGACUUGGGACAUCCUUUGUCGAGAAGACCUUGGGAAGUGAAUACACUUCUGUUGGGUAGAGUAUAAGGGAAAGUUGGGGCAUUCCAGAUGGGCUUCCGCAAUCCUUCUCCAGCAUGAAUUCCACAGUCCGUGUUGCACAAUGUCUGUGUCCUGGGCCCUUGGCUGGGGUGGGGACGAAAUAAAUAGAUGCAGAGUGUUCCAGGAAAUGUCAGGAAAGUCCAGUUGGUCUGUACUCUGUAGAGUAUGACUAGGUGGCCAGAGAGGAAAUAACCCUGGGCAGUUGGUGAGGAUCAGAUUUUUGCGAGUUUUAAAUGCCAGUCUAGAGGGUGUUUGUUACAGUCUAUGGCCAAUGAGGAGCUGUGGGAGGUUCUGAGCCAAGCAGUGACCUGACCAGAGCUGUGCAUUAUUUAGAACUAUCCCCUCGGCAACACAUACCUGAUGGACAGGAGAGCCCACGGGCAGUGAGAGGUAGGCUAAGCUCAGUGGUGCCGCUAUUUACCAGAAUGAAAGUGGAGAGCGACUUAACCCCCGAGCCAGAGUUGGCUGACCCCGAUGCUACAUAAUCUCCACCAUCUCCACCGUCUCUUCCAGCGUUGACAUUACACUACAACAGUGACACCGAAAUGCCUAGUCCUUAGCUCGUCGUUGUAACUACAAGGGGAAUUUACUUCUAAUAUGAUACACAAGAUGCACUGGAAAGAUUGACACAGAAAGGCCUCUACAAAGUUGUCUCCAGUCUUUGUGCCGUCGUCAUCUUCAGCACACCCCAUAAUUCACACUCUCCCCAAGGGACCACUUAAUGCCAGGCUGCCCAGGCUGCCCUGGGAUCUGUUCAGUAGCCGGCUCUUGGGCUAUAGAGAACGAUACUGGGAAAAGACACACAGGGUGGUACUCCACACCCCUGCUUCCUGUCCAGAAUGGAGUCUCCUCCUGCUUUGCUCCCCGUUCACGUUUCCUACUCAAUGCCCCCAUUACCUUGUAAGGAAAUACCAUAGCCAGGUGUCUGUUCAGUUACCAUCCCUCCCUCUGAUUCUUUCCCACCAAUUCCAUGCUGGGGCAUGUAAUGGCUGUCAGCUGUAGUGUUCUGCGGCUCCCCCAGGUGACGACAUGUGACCUAGACUGGCCAAUCAGAGUUUCCCAUCUACCUUGGCCGCAAAGAUUGCUCAUCAGUGGACAUUAGACCCAAGAAAAGCCAACCAGGGUAUUCCUUGAAGUUGAGCAGGGAGCCAUUGGGAAGGAGAAAUAUUCAUUUCGUUGAGGUUGCUGAGCUGAGGAGAUUCUGGGAGGGCCCAGGGAUUCCAGUGGCCAUUCUUAUCCAGUAUGUAGGAGGAAGAAGCUGUCUGAAAAAUAAAGAAAGUCAUAGCUCUGACCAUACAGUAAGGCCCCCGGAUCUAGCCAGACCUGAAGUCAGAGGCUACCUACCACUCCCCAGCCCCCAGACCUCCCAGUUGCAAGGACCAACAAAUUCACUUCUUGCUUAAACUACACUUCAGUGGGGUUUCUGUAAAUUACAACAGAAAGGAUCCUAACUAGGGCACUUCUUUUUUAACCAUUCUUCCCUUUGGCAACUAUCUCCUAUAAUUAUUCCCAUUUAUCAAAAUCCUAGGCAUCUGUAAGCUAAAAGACUCUUCCAGUCCAGCCUCCUCUCAUCCACCCCUGAAGUGAUUUCAUUCCUUCUUCUCAAGUCCCUGGCCCUUGAUUUAAAACAUUCUUAUGGUCACAGGUCAUUUGCUGGAGGUCAACGUGGUUUCCUCAUGCGCAUUUCCUAGCACUCUUCUUAGCGUAUAAGCUCCUUGAGGAGAGGAGCCAUAAGUCAGAUGUCCAUAGGGUAGAUUUCCUCCCCAACUUCAUGCUACAGACCAGGAGGGAGCCGGAGGGUUACUGCUGGAGCUUAUAAAUCCAUGCGUGCGCUAAGCCUCAAAUGCAUAAUAUUCUGUCAAAUCCACGUGCUGGAGAAAAUUCAGUAUGGCCAAAAGCUACCAUGACUAUUACUUAAACGUAAUACUAAUAUAGAGAGGCUAGCAAAUACUUGGGGCAUUCAAAACAAGUCCUCAAGUGAUCUGAAUGUUAUUACAUGGAUGUACACGUAUGUGGAAACCUUUUGAGUUUUACACUUAAGAUGUGCGCACUUUAGGCAAGUUAUGCCGCCAUUCAAAGUCAAAACUAAAAUAAAAAUACAGGAGUCCUCAUAGUUGACAAAUAUGUCCAUCACUAGUCAAUACACAAAAAAUUAAUUUGAAAUGCAUCAGAGACCUAAAUAAACUGAAAGCUAAAACUAUACAGGUCCUAGAAGAAAAUAUAAGAGAAUAGCUUUUGCCCCUGAGGUAGGCAAUGACUCCUUAGAACCCUAAAAGCAGCAAAAAAAAAAAAAAAAAAAAAAAAGGCAAGAAA